rnacentral:rRNA from 1 species
AGAGUUUGAUCCUGGCUCAGGAUUAACGCUGGCGGCACGCCUAAUACAUGCAAGUCGAACGGAAAAUAUAGAAGUGCUUGCACAUUUAUAUUUUUAGUGGCGAACGGGUGAGUAAUAUAUAGAUAACCUACCUUCCAGUUGGGGAUAACAGAGGGAAACUUCUGCUAAUACCGAAUAUGAUAAAGAAACACAAGUAAUUUUAUUGAAAGGGGCUCCAAAGCCUCGCUAGAAGAGGGGUCUAUAUCGCAUUAGCUAGUUGGUAAGAUAACAGCCUACCAAGGCGAUGAUGCGUAGCUGUACUGAGAGGUAGAACAGCCACAUUGGGACUGAGAUACGGCCCAAACUCCUACGGGAGGCAGCAGUAGGGAAUUUUCGGCAAUGGGGGGAACCCUGACCGAGCAAUGCCGCGUGAUAGAAGACGGUCUUCGGACUGUAAAGAUCUGUUAUUAGGGAAGAAUUUUUACUUUAGGAAAUGGAAGUAAAUUGACGGUGCCUAAUGAGGAAGCCCCGGCUAACUAUGUGCCAGCAGCCGCGGUAAUACAUAGGGGGCAAGCGUUAUCCGGAAUUAUUGGGCGUAAAGGGUACGUAGGCGGGCUUGCAAGUCUGAUUUGAAAGCACAUGGCUUAACCAUGUGAGGUAAUUAGAAACUACGAGUCUAGAGAGUGGUAGAGGUAAAUGGAAUUCCAAGUGGAGCGGUGAAAUGCGUAGAGAUUUGGAGGAACACCAGUGGCGAGGGCGGUUUACUGGGCCACAUCUGACGCUGAUGUACGAAAGCGUGGGGAGCAAACAGGAUUAGAUACCCUGGUAGUCCACGCCGUAAACGAUGAGUGCUAAGUAUCGGGGGAUUUCGGUGCUUAAGCUAACGCAGUAAGCACUCCGCCUGGGGAGUACGGUCGCAAGACUGAAUCUCAAAGGAAUUGACGGGGACUCGCACAAGCGGCGGAGCAUGUGGUUUAAUUCGAAGCAACGCGAAAAACCUUACCAAGACUUGACAUCGUAUGACCGCUAUAGAAAUAUGGUUUCCCUUCGGGGCAUAUAGACAGGUGGUGCAUGGUUGUCGUCAGCUCGUGUCGUGAGAUGUUGGGUUAAGUCCCGCAACGAGCGCAACCCUUAUGAAUAGUUGCCAUAUUAGGUUAGGAACUCUAUUCAGACUGCCGUGGAUAACACGGAGGAAGGUGGGGACGACGUCAAAUCAUCAUGCCCCUUACGUCUUGGGCUACACACGUGCUACAAUGGCUAUUACAAAGAGCAGCAAACCCGUAAGGAGGAGCGAAUCUCACAAAAAUAGUCUCAGUUCGGACUGUGGGCUGCAACCCGCCCACACGAAGUAGGAGUUGCUAGUAAUCCCGAAUCAGCAUGUCGGGGUGAAUAAAUUCCCGGGUCUUGCACA